GUGGUAUGCUUUGAUUAAAUUACAUCUUCAAUUCAUUUUAUGGAAAAAAACAACCGCCGCUCCUGAACAAGUAAAACCCUUGAUAUCAUCUCUUUUUCGAUUCUAAUCCUCCAAAAAUGCAAAGAAUUUAUCAAGCUUGGAUUCCGAUAUACUUUUUCUCUGGGUAUUGUGUUGCGGAAUUUUCCUUACUCUUUGUCAAUUCCAAUCAAAUACGUCUCUUUGUCCAGAUCGAUGAUUCUGAGAAGAUUUAAAGUAUGUCACUAUCUCGGAGGUGGUAUACGUUUUUGUAGGCAACUCUCUUCCAUUCUACAGUCAAAAGAAGAGUAUCCUGGUAACAUAAUUUUUUCCUUGUCUAUAGCUUCACAUCAGUGAAAAGAGUUUUAGACAGUUGAAUCAAUGCUACAUUUUUGCUCCACUAAUUGAUUGAAAAUGUUGAGGAAUUUAUUAAUUAAAACAAUAGGAUCUCUACUUUUAAUGUAUGGUAUUUCAUAUAUAUAUAUUUUUUUUGAGGAACUGGUACUUCAUAUAUGGUUAUAUAUAUAGUGUUGGUUAGAUGACUUAUGACAAUUGACUUGUAAGAAUUGUUUGUUGUUUACACGUGCAAUUCUUUGCUUGUUCUCAUUUAAUUUGAUACUUGUUAAAUAAAUGCUUUAAGUACCCCCCCAGUAAUGCACCCUAUUGUUAUUAUUAUUUUCUUAUUUUAUUUGAUGUAUAUAUGGCUGAUUUGGAAGAGUAUUCUCUUUCAGAUUUUGUAAUUUGUUUGGGUUUUAUUCUUAUUUAAGUGUACAUAAUACUAAUUAGUUGAAUUAAUAAAUUCUUUUGUAGUACCACAUACAAUUUAUUUGUUCAGUUGUUGCUCAUAUUAGUGUUGUUUAUGAAAAUCAUCCAUUUUUAUGCUGACUGCUAACCAAUUCUUGUUUAUUGUAUUUUCUUUAAAAGGCCUCAAGCAUUGUGUUAUUGUUGGUAUGAUUUUCUUAUCUUUUCUUAUUAUUAUAUAGUAUAUUAUGGGUGCAAGCUCUCUAUUUCAUGAAGCUGAAUCUGUCUUCCUUAUCAUUUACAUGAAGCCUUGACGUGUCUAGUAUCAUGGUGAUCUUAGAAUGAUUUCCCUUUUGUCUGCAUGCGCUUGUGUUGUCUAAGAUUUGAGCAAAAAUAGCUUCAGCAUUGUCAUUUAUUUCUAUUUUAGUUGACCUUGGUCUAUUAUCCAUCUAAUGAUGUUCCUUUUAUCCAUAGUCUAUCUCACCUGUGUUUCGUAUCUUGUCGUGUGCUCGAACCGUGAUAUUUUGCAUAUAAUUUGUAUUCAGAUUGUGCUAUAACUGUUUUAUAGAUGUACAUGUUAUCAUUUUGGCUCUCUCUAGCUCUUUAUUUCCCAUGUAUAUUUUAUCUUAUGAAGUUGCUAUUUGCUUGUGUACUUAUGAUUUUAUGACUAAAUUUGAGCUAAAUCAAUGGAAAAUAGAAACGAAUUAUGUGGUAUAUGAAUGAAAUAUCCCAUGUAUUGUCCUGGUAAUGCAUCUUUACUGUUCAAUACAUUUUCUCAUUGAUAAUUCCCAACAUCCCUUGUUUCUUCUAAAUACCAAUACCUUUAAAGUGUAACAAAGUUGUUGGAACACAAAUGUUGUUGCUGUAGGAUGCUGACCACAACCGUCGCUCCACCUUGCUGUUAUUGCUGCUCAACAAUGUUGCUGCUGCUGUUGUUGAUCCACGAUGCUAUUGUUGUCUGUCUCCCCAGGCUACACAAAACAACUAGAUCCUACCCAAGGAUCCAGAAAUAUUAAAGAGUGUGCUGUGAAUUCAAUGCUUACAAUGAGUUAUUGGUCACAAUUUGAACUUCGCUCUAUGCCCUCCUGCAAGCUUAUUAAGGAGCAGCUAAAAGAAAAGAUUGAUUGAAGAUAUUUUUUCUCUGAAGAAAUGAGCGGAGUUGUCUGAUGGGCAUCAAAGAACUUAUUGAUUAAGAAGAAAUCCUUGAUUUCAAAUGUGUUGUUAAAAUCCAAAAUUACAUUAGGUGUAAAAAUAUUAUAACUAAUUGCUAAGAAACAUUGUUGCUAGUUUUACUUGUAAUAAAAUAUUCUGUGUAACGGAAAAUAUUAAUUUAUUUAUUUAUAUACAAUAAACAAGAUUUUUGUUUA